rnacentral:misc_RNA from 1 species
CUUCAAACGCCCAACCCAACACACACUUCUAUAUAUACUCAAUAUUUCAAAACUCACUCUCACUCAACACCCAACACCCAACACUCCUCACUCCGGUGACCGCAUUUCUUGAUCUUUUCCCCGUCGCCAUGUAUAACAACCAUAACGAUCGCUUCGCCAGCAUUGAAACAACUUGUGGUUUGCUGCUAUUGGAAUUGCAGAAAAUAUGGGACGAAGUGGGAGAUAAUGACGUUCAAAGGGACAAAGUGUUGCUCGAAAUUGAAGAAGAGUGCCUAGAGGUGUAUAAGAGAAAAGUUGAUGAGGCUGGAAAGUGUCGAUCUGAAUUGCAACGUGAAAUUGCUUUGGUUGAAGCGGAAAUUGAGAGUAUCUGUUAUGCAUUCAGUGAGCAACCGGUAAAAGAUGAGCAGAAGGCCAGUAGAAACUUAAGAGAAAAGCUUCAAAUAAUUUUUCCUCAGUUGGAGGAAAUGCGGAAGAGAAAAGCAGAGAGGAAAAAGCAAUUCGUUGAAGUUCUAGACGAAUUAAACAACAUUUCGAAAGUGAUUUUCGGCUCUUCUGCUGAAGAUAAUCUGUGCGGGAACGUUGUGGACGGGGACGACUUCUCUAUGAGAAGAUUAGAACAAUUACAGAAUCAGUUGCGUGAGCUUCAGAACGAGAAGAGCAAUCGUUUGAAGCAAGUACUUUCUCUUUUGGACACUCUGAGCUCCCUGUGUGAGGUUCUUAGUAUGGAUUUCAAACACACAAUUCACGAGAUCCAUCCAACUUUGGAUGAUUCUAAAGAAUUAAAAGACAUAACCAAUUAUACAAUUGAGAGGUUGACUACUGUAAUAGAAAGUGUUCGAGAUGUCAAGAUACAGAGAAUGCAGAGGGUAUUUGAGCAAAAUUUUCUUAUGCAUUGUUGCAAAACAUUUUUUUUAAUCCCUUCUGCUUGGCACAACUAAUAUUUAAAAUUCAGCUUCAAGUUCUUGGAACUGUCCUUCUUGAGCUUUGGGAUUUGAUGGGCACUCCAAUUGAGGAGCGACAGAUGUUUCAGAAUGUUACCAGUAUUAUUGCUGCUUCAGAACCCCAAAUUACUGAGCCUAAUAUGCUUUCCAUGGACUUCAUUAACCAUGUUGAGGACGAAGUCUCAAGGCUCAAGCAGCUCAAAUCAAGUAAAGUAAAAGAGAUUAUUCUGAAGAAGCAGUUGGAACUAGAAGAGAUAUGCAGGAAUGCACACAUUGUAACAGAAUCGCUUACUGCUGCUGAAUAUUCCAUUGAAGCUGUAACAUCUGGAGUGGAUCCUGUGCAUUUACUAGAAGAGAUUGAGUUUGA